GUCCAGCUGAAGAGUCCCAAAUAGGACGAAAGGCGCGUCAAACUGGAU
rfam:Schistosoma mansoni strain Puerto Rico chromosome W, complete genome